UACGAGGGAUGCAAGCGUUGUUCGGAAUCACUGGGCGUAAAGAGAGCGUAGGCGGGAAAAUAAGUUUGGUGUUUAAAGCAAGGGCCUAACCCUUGUGUGGCACUGAAUACUGUUUUUCUUGAGUAGGUUAGGGGUUAUCGGAAUUUCUGGUGUAGCGGUGGAAUGCGUAGAUAUCAGAAAGAACACCAAUGGCGAAGGCAGAUAACUGGGACCAUACUGACGCUGAGGCUCGAAAGUGCGGGGAGCAAACAGG
rnacentral:rRNA from 1 species